AGCACCUGGGAGAGCGUGGGGGAGACGAUACCUUGAGGUUUUAGCUUUCUUUUUCUCUUUUUGCUUCUUUUUGAUUUUUGCGCUGCUCUGGUGUGUGGGUCUGGGUUUCAUAUAAGGGGGUGGUGAGCUCUCUUCACAGAGAGACACAACAAUGCCUUCUCUAGCUGGGGACCCAAGGACUGCCAGAUCCAGAUCUCAGGCCCAAGAGUGUAAACAACGUGGACCAAAGAGAGAAAAUAAGAAGGAUGGGACUUCAUGGGCUGGGGCUAUAAUCGGACAAUUAGCUCCAAUAUGCUAAUGAACCAAAAUUUAUAAAAAUCCUUUGUUCCAGCUGUUUAGGCAGUAGGGGAAGAGGUUAAAAGUGCUUGAUGGAAAUCCAACCUAUGGGGGAGCUGCCCCCACGUCCUAAUGGGAUGGGAAGAUGGAGGAAACCUGAAAAAAAGCCCUGGAUCUCCUUCACAUGGGUGGAGGCUUAAGCUGAAAGUGCCCAGCCCUGGCUCCAGCUGGGAGAGGCUCCUUCAGCAAAGCCUUCAAAAGGCCUCACUUCCCUGCAAAGCAGCUCGUGAGGCAGCGAGAUUCCACGUGCUCCGUGGAGAACAGCAGGGGCACUAAAAAUAGGAGCAGGGUUAACACCUCUUUGGGAACAGCUCCGGCUUUGCAGUGAAUUACAUGCAGUGCAAGAAGGGCUAAAUUCAGCAGCCUCCCUGCAAAUCCGCAUCUGAACUCGGAGCAGAUGUUUGGGCUGACCUCGUUUGUCCCAGUUUGCCAUUCACACGCUGCCCUGCCAGUGUUUUUGUUGGCAGUCUGGAACAAGGAUGUGAGUGUGAGCCAGGGGGUUCCUAACCCCUCCUUUCCUAGUUUUUCUUUCAGCUUUUCCUGGUUGGUUUUUUUUUUUUUUUUGUCUGAGCAGUGAGCUAGAGCCGGGCAAACACUUAGCACAAAUACAAGGAGCCAAAAUGAAUCAUUUGUGUACAACAGAGCUGCUGAAAAACAGAUUCAGGAGUAUAAAAGCAACCAGCAAAGAGCAAAUUGGGAUAACACCUCCAGGAGGGUUUUGGAGCUAAUAAAGCAGGUGGCUUUGUACAAUAUACUGCACCAUAAGCUCCAGGAAUUAACAUUUACAGCAGCUUUACCUUCCCAUUCAAGGCUUUCAUGGCCUCCACUGCGUGUUCUCUUUUAUUAAAGUGCACAAAGGCGUA